GUGGAGUUGAUCGUUCGGUCGGGCAACAUCCGCGACCUUCUCGCUCAGUUGGAGUCUCACACCAUCGACGUCGUUCUGGCGAACAGCGCGGCGCCGCAGGACGCACGCUCGUCACUCCGCAACCACCUGCUUAACGAACAGCCGGUUAGCUUAAUCGGCCGCGCAAAAAAGGGAAAACGCAAGUUCCGUUUUCCGGAAGACCUUCGCACCGAGCCA
rnacentral:misc_RNA from 1 species